CCUACGUGAGGCAGCAGUGAGGAAUAUUGGUCAAUGGGCGCGAGCCUGAACCAGCCAAGUAGCGUGAAGGAUGACUGCCCUACGGGUUGUAAACUUCUUUUAUAAAGGAAUAAAGUGAGGCACGUGUGCCUUUUUGUAUGUACUUUAUGAAUAAGGAUCGGCUAACUCCGUGCCAGCAGCCGCGGUAAUACGGAGGAUCCGAGCGUUAUCCGGAUUUAUUGGGUUUAAAGGGAGCGUAGAUGGGUUGUUAAGUCAGUGGUGAAAGUUUGCGGCUCAACCGUAAAAUUGCAAUUGAUACUGGCAGUCUUGAGUACAGUUGAGGUAGGCGGAAUUCGUGGUGUAGCGGUGAAAUGCUUAGAUAUCACGAAGAACUCCGAUUGCGAAGGCAGCUUACUAAACUGCCACUGACAUUGAUGCUCGAAAGUGUGGGUAUCAAACAGGAUUAGAUACCCCAGUAGUC
rnacentral:rRNA from 1 species